GUGGACAACAUUAGUGGUCUAUCUCGGGGC
rnacentral:piRNA from 1 species